rnacentral:misc_RNA from 1 species
AAGGAUCAUUAAAAAGUACCGAGUGGCUUUCACGCCACGGGUUAAUACACCGAUGCCUCCCGGGGCACGUGACGUGUAAAAUUACUUGUUGAAACACUUUAUUUAUGCUUCGGUUGCACCUUCCGUCUAAACCGCGGUCGGGUAAGUCGGCCGAUGGCACACUUUAAAAACUAGUUGAUGAAAUGUCAUGCUGUCUGAUACUGUUUAGUAUUUGAGAAAUCGAAUAUAUAUUAAAACUUUCAGCAACGGAUCUCUUGGUUCUC